rnacentral:rRNA from 1 species
AUUGAACGCUGGCGGCAGGCCUAACACAUGCAAGUCGAGCGAGCGGCGGAGGGGUGAGUAAUGUAUGGGGAAUGUCCGAUAGAGGGGGAUAACUACUGGAAACGGUAGCUAUUACCGCAUACUACCAGAUUACCCAUAUGGGAUUAGCUAGUAGGUGCGGUAAUGGCUCACCUAGGCGACGCUCCCUAGCUGGUCUGAGAGGAUGAUCAGCCACACUGGGACGGAGACACGGCCCAGACUCCUACGGAGGCAGCAGUGGGGAAUAUUGCACAAUGGGCGCAAGCCUGAUGCAGCCAUGCCGCGUGUAUGAAGAAGGCCCUAGGGUUGUAAAGUACUUUCAGUCGGGAGGCGUUACCGACAGAAGAAGCACCGGCUAACUCCGUGCCAGCAGCCGCGGUAAUUC